CGUGUAGGCGGGAAAGAAAGUCAGAAGUGAAAUCCCACGGCUUAACUGUGGAGCUGCUUCUGAAACUUCUUUUCUUGAGUGUCGGAGAGGAAAGUGGAAUUCCAAGUGUAGCGGUGAAAUGCGUAGAGAUUUGGAGGAACACCAGUGGCGAAGGCGGCUUUCUGGACGAUAACUGACGCUGAGGCGCGAAAGCGUGGGGAGCAAACAGGAUUAGAUACCCUGGUAGUCCACGCUGUAAACGAUGGAUACUAGGUGUAGGAGGUAUCGACCCCUUCUGUGCCGCAGUUAACACAAUAAGUAUCCCACCUGGGGAUACGGCCGCAAGGUUGAA
rnacentral:rRNA from 1 species